UACGAAGGGGGCUAGCGUUGCUCGGAAUCACUGGGCGUAAAGGGCGCGUAGGCGGCGUUUUUAAGUCGGGGGUGAAAGCCUGUGGCUCAACCACAGAAUGGCCUUCGAUACUGGGACGCUUGAGUAUGGUAGAGGUUGGUGGAACUGCGAGUGUAGAGGUGAAAUUCGUAGAUAUUCGCAAGAACACCGGUGGCGAAGGCGGCCAACUGGACCAUUACUGACGCUGAGGCGCGAAAGCGUGGGGAGCAAACAGGAUUAGAACCGGUACCGUCAG
rnacentral:rRNA from 1 species